rnacentral:rRNA from 1 species
GACGAACGCUGGCGGCGUGCUUAACACAUGCAAGUCGAACGGAAAGGCCCUGCUUUUGUGGGGUGCUCGAGUGGCGAACGGGUGAGUAACACGUGAGUAACCUGCCCUUGACUUUGGGAUAACUUCAGGAAACUGGGGCUAAUACCGGAUAGGAGCUCCUGCCGCAUGGUGGGGGUUGGAACGUUUCGGCGGUUGGGGAUGGACUCGCGGCUUAUCAGCUUGUUGGUGGGGUAGUGGCUUACCAAGGCUUUGACGGGUAGCCGGCCUGAGAGGGUGACCGGCCACAUUGGGACUGAGAUACGGCCCAGACUCCUACGGGAGGCAGCAGUGGGGAAUAUUGCACAAUGGGCGGAAGCCUGAUGCAGCAACGCCGCGUGCGGGAUGACGGCCUUCGGGUUGUAAACCGCUUUCGCCUGUGACGAAGCGUGAGUGACGGUAAUGGGUAAAGAAGCACCGGCUAACUACGUG